UUAUCCCCUUUUUCUAGAUCUUCUUAUCAUCCUUUGUCUAUAUCAUGACUCCCAAGAUGUCAUAAUACAACAUAAAGAAAAAAAGAUGAUGAAUAUAUGGGAAAAUAAAAUUAUGACAUCUCUUCUUAGAAAUUAUGAUAUUCCUUCACAAAAAUUAUGAUACUCCUAUAGAAAAUACUAAACUGAAGUUGUUAACUCUCCUUCUAGAUCUUCUUAUCAUUCUUUGCCUAUAUCAUGACUCCCAGAAUGUCAUAAUACAGCAUAGAGAAAAAAAAAUGAUAAAUAUAUGUAGAAACAGAAGACACUCCUUUUUAGAAUUUAUGACAUCUAUUCAUAAAAAUUAUGAUAUAUCUACUGAAAGUGCUAAACUGAAGUUGUUAACCCUUCCUUCUAGAUCUUUCUAUCAUUCUUUACCUAUAUCAUGACUCUCAGGAUGUCAUAAUAUGGUAUGGAUUAAAAAAAUGAUGAAUAUAUGGAGAAACAAAAUUAUGACAUCUCUUCUUAAAAAUUAUGAUAUUUCUUCAUAGAAAUUAUGACAUCCCUACAGAAAGUGCUAAACUAAAGUUGUUAACCCCUUAUUUCAAGUCUUUCUAUCAUCUCUUGCCUAUAUCAUGACUCUUAUGAUAUCAUAAUAUGAGUGGAGGAAAGAAGAUGAUGAAUAUAUGAGAAAACAGAAUUAUGACAUCUCUUCUUAAAAAUUAUGA
rnacentral:lncRNA from 1 species